UUCAUUCUCAUCUGCCUUUGCUUUAACAUCUCUCACUGGCCCCUCCCAGUGAUCAGGGCUUAUAAACGCAGCUUCUUGUUAUACCAGAGCAUUCUCAGAAGCUAGAGAGGCAGCAAUAUGGUGGCCAUCCCACUCCUCCUCUUUCUCUUAAGUGUCACAGCUUCCAAGGGACAGAUCACACUCACCCAGCCAGCAGAGUCCCUUCAUGGUUCUCCAGGAGAGAGAGUCUCGAUCACCUGCAGGGCCAGUCAGAGCCUCCUCUACACAGAUGGAAAGCACUACUUGUCCUGGUACCAGCAGAGACAAGGGCAGACCAUCAAGACCUUCAUUUACCAUGCUUCAGUCAGGAUUGAUGGAGUCCCCACCAGGUUCAUCGGCAGUGGAUCUGGGACAGAAUUCACCCUCACUAUUGAAGACCUUAAGCCUGAGGACUUUGCAGUUUAUUACUGUCUUCAAACACUGAAGAUGCCUCCCACAGUGAUUGAGUCCUGAACAGUAACUCCCCUU